GACGAACGCUGGCGGCGUGCUUAACACAUGCAAGUCGAGCGGUAAGGCCCUUUCGGGGGUACACGAGCGGCGAACGGGUGAGUAANACGUGGGUGACCUGCCCUCAGCUCUGGGAUAAGCCUGGGAAACCGGGUCUAAUACUGGAUAUGACUCCAUGACGCAUGUUGUGGGGUGGAAAGCCUUGUGCGGCUGAGGAUGGGCCCGCGGCCUAUCAGCUUGUUGGUGGGGUGAGGGCCUACCAAGGCGACGACGGGUAGCCGGCCUGAGAGGGCGACCGGCCACACUGGGACUGAGACACGGCCCAGACUCCUACGGGAGGCAGCAGUGGGGAAUCUUGCGCAAUGGGCGAAAGCCUGACGCAGCGACGCCGCGUGAGGGAUGACGGCCUGGUGUAAC
rnacentral:rRNA from 1 species